rnacentral:rRNA from 1 species
GACGAACCGUGCGAACGUUGUUCGGAUUCACUGGGCUUAAAGGGCGCGUAGGCGGGGUGCCAAGUCAGGGGUGAAAGCUUUCGGCUCAACCGGAAAAGUGCCCCUGAUACUGGUGCUCUGGAGUGAGGUAGGGGCAUGUGGAACAGUGGGUGGAGCGGUGAAAUGCGUAGAUAUCCACUGGAACGCCGGUGGCGAAAGCGACGUGCUGGACCUCGACUGACGCUGAGGCGCGAAAGCUAGGGGAGCAAACGGG